rnacentral:rRNA from 1 species
GCUCGUAGGUGGUUUGUCGCGUUGUUCGUGAAAUCUCACGGCUUAACUGUGAGCGUGCGGGCGAUACGGGCAGACUUGAGUACUGCAGGGGAGACUGGAAUUCCUGGUGUAGCGGUGGAAUGCGCAGAUAUCAGGAGGAACACCGGUGGCGAAGGCGGGUCUCUGGGCAGUAACUGACGCUGAGGAGCGAAAGCGUGGGGAGCGAACAGGAUUAGAUACCCUGGUAGUCCACGCCGUAAACGGUGGGUACUAGGUGUGGGUUUCCUUCCUUGGGAUCCGUGCCGUAGCUAACGCAUUAAGUACCCCGCCUGGGGAGUACGGCCGCAAGGCUAAAACUCAAAGAAAUUGACGGGGGCCCGCACAAGCGGCGGAGCAUGUGGAUUAAUUCGAUGCAACGCGAAGAACCUUACCUGGGUUUGACAUGCACAGGACGCCGGCAGAGAUGUCGGUUCCCUUGUGGCCUGUGUGCAGGUGGUGCAUGGCUGUCGUCAGCUCGUGUCGUGAGAUGCUGGGUUAAGUCCCGCAACGAGCGCAACCCUUGUCUCAUGUUGCCAGCGGGUAAUGCCGGGGACUCGUGAGAGACUGCCGGGGUCAACUCGGAGGAAGGUGGGGAUGACGUCAAGUCGUCAUGCCCCUUAUGUCCAGGGCUUCACACAUGCUACAAUGGCCGGUACAAAGGGCUGCGAUGCCGCGAGGUUAAGCGAAUCCUUUUAAAGCCGGUCUCAGUUCGGAUCGGGGUCUGCAACUCGACCCCGUGAAGUCGGAGUCGCUAGUAAUCGCAGAUCAGCAACGCUGCGGUGA